GACGAACGCUGGCGGCGUGCUUAACACAUGCAAGUCGAACGGUGACCCAGGGCUUGCCCUGGUGAUCAGUGGCGAACGGGUGAGUAACACGUGGGGCAACCUGCCCCUGACUUCGGGAUAACUCCUCGAAAGAGGAGCUAAUACCGGAUACGACCACUUCGGACAUCCGAUGGUGGUGGAAAGUUUUUCGGGUCAGGGAUGGGGCCCGCGGCCUAUCAGCUAGUUGGUGGGGUAAUGGCCUACCAAGGCGACGACGGGUAGCCGGCCUGAGAGGGCGACCGGCCACACUGGGACUGAGACACGGGCCCAGACUCCUACGGGAGGCAGCAGUGGGGAAUAUUGCGCAAUGGGCGAAAGCCUGACGCAGCGACGCCGCGUGAGGGAUGAA
rnacentral:rRNA from 1 species